rfam:Solenopsis invicta Si_gnG.contig20905, whole genome shotgun sequence.
AAUCGGGCCAUUUUUGGUAAGCAGAAAUGGCACGGUGGGAUGAACCAAACGCAGAGUUAAUGCGCCCAAAUCGACGCUCAUGGGACACCAUAAAAAGCGUUGGUUGCUUAAGACAGGAGAACGAUGACCAUGGAAGUCGGAAUCCGCUAAGGAGUGUGUAACAACUCACCUGCCGAAACAACUAGUCCUGAAAAUGAAUGGCGCUGAAGCGUCGAGCCUAUACUCUGCCGUCAGCGGCAAGUAGGGCGGUGCGAGCGCGUGAGCGCGAACUCCGUCACGAGGCCCUGACGAGUAGGAGGGUCGCGGCGGUGUGCGCAGAAGGGUCUGGGUGCAAGCCUGCCUAGAGCCGCCGUCGGUGCAGAUCUUGGUGGUAGUAGCAAAUACUCCAGCGAGGCCCUGGAAUACUGACGUGGAGAAGGGUUUCGUGUGAACAGCCGUUGCACACGAGUCAGUCGAUCCUAAGCCCUAGGAGAAAUCCUAUGUCAAUGACGGCAUACUUAUGCUCAAGUGUUUACUCUCUGUCUCGUCGUCGCAUUCUCGUCGCGCGUGACGCGCGCGCCCGCUUGCCGGGCGACUCUGUACGUCGCGCUGAACGACGAACUGUGUGCGCGCGAGCUCAAGUGUUGUGACACACGCCCGUCGGGUGAAAGGGCAUACGGUUCCUAUUCCGGAAUUCCGGCAUAGUGACGCAUAACGGCAUUUCCUAUCAUCUUAAUGCACCAAGAGAAACACGGACCACGGACGCCACUGGUGUGUUGUUGUUGCUGGGUUCGCCUGCUCGCCACAACAAAUCCAGUGGGUCUGCAAAAACUGGUAGCCUCCAGGCGCGCAUGU